GGGGGUACAGCUCAGGGGUAGAGCAUUUGACUGCAGAUCAAGAGGUCCCUGGUUCAAGUCUAGGUGUCCCCC
rnacentral:tRNA from 1 species